rnacentral:rRNA from 1 species
UUGAACGCUGGCGGCAUGCUUUACACAUGCAAGUCGAACGGCAGCGCGGGCUUCGGCCUGGCGGCGAGUGGCGAACGGGUGAGUAAUACAUCGGAACGUGCCCAGUAGUGGGGGAUAGCUCGGCGAAAGCCGGAUUAAUACCGCAUACGACCUGAGGGUGAAGGCGGGGGAUCUUCGGACCUCGCGCUAUUGGAGCGGCCGAUGGCAGAUUAGCUAGUUGGUGGGGUAAAGGCCUACCAAGGCGACGAUCUGUAGCUGGUCUGAGAGGACGACCAGCCACACUGGGACUGAGACACGGCCCAGACUCCUACGGGAGGCAGCAGUGGGGAAUUUUGGACAAUGGGCGAAAGCCUGAUCCAGCAAUGCCGCGUGUGUGAUGAAGGCCUUCGGGUUGUAAAGCACUUUUGGCGGGAACGAAAAGGACUGUGCCAAUACCACGGUUCGAUGACGGUACCCGCAGAAUAAGCACCGGCUAACUACGUG